rnacentral:rRNA from 1 species
CAGCACCUCAAGUGGUCAGGAUGUUUAUUGGGCCUAAAGCAUCCGUAGCCGGCUCUGUAAGUUUUCGGUUAAAUCUGUACGCUUAACGUACAGGCUGCCGGGAAUACUGCAGAGCUAGGGAGUGGGAGAGGUAGACGGUACUCGGUAGGAAGGGGUAAAAUCCUUUGAUCUAUUGAUGACCACCUGUGGCGAAGGCGGUCUACCAGAACACGUCCGACGGUGAGGGAUGAAAGCUGGGGGAGCAAACCGGAUUAGAUACCCGAGUAGUCC